CUGUGAUCUCCUUCAGUGAUGGGUACAGCACAUCCUUGGAGAGUAGGUUCUGCAUAAUACUCUGCAUGAUGGGGAGGAUGUUCCCUUCCCCAUCCCCUUCGUCCAUGCCUAGCCCCUCCAUGGCCUUGGUCAGCUCUUCUUCCGACAUGCUGGAGUUCUAGAUAGGACAAUUCCUCAGCGGCGGCCAUCUUGCUACCUCCGACUUGCCGUAGGAGGCGGGACC
rnacentral:lncRNA from 1 species